rnacentral:rRNA from 1 species
UGGGGAAUAUUGCACAAUGGGCGCAAGCCUGAUGCAGCCAUGCCGCGUGUAUGAAGAAGGCCUUCGGGUUGUAAAGUACUUUCAGCGGGGAGGAAGGUGUUGAGGCUAAUAACCUCAGCAAUUGACGUUACCCGCAGAAGAAGCACCGGCUAACUCCGUGCCAGCAGCCGCGGUAAUACGGAGGGUGCAAGCGUUAAUCGGAAUUACUGGGCGUAAAGCGCACGCAGGCGGGCUGUCAAGUCGGAUGUGAAAUCCCCGGGCUCAACCUGGGAACUGCAUUCGAAACUGGCAGGCUAGAGUCUUGUAGAGGGGGGUAGAAUUCCAGGUGUAGCGGUGAAAUGCGUAGAGAUCGGGAGGAAUACCGGUGGCGAAGGCGGCCCCCUGGACAAAGACUGACGCUCAGGUGCGAAAGCGUGGGGAGCAAACA